CGGUUAGGCUCGUACUGAACCCCCUGGGUGUCUUAUGGGGUAAGUUUUAGUUAGUUUCCCCAUAGCUAGCGCCCCUCCCCUUGACUAUAUCGUAACUUUCUAUUGCCUGUAUCUUCGCACACACGCACACACACACUUCAAAACGUCUCUAAGAGAUAUAAUAUUCGGAUGUUUGAAACGUGUAUAAAGUGUCUGAAUGUAAGAGGUAUGCAAAAGUUCAAAAAUUCUUGCAUAUUUCAUUAAAAUUUAAAGUGUCUCUAAAAUAUGUGAAGAAAUGUUCGAUGCUUGAUAUGUGUAGUAAGUAAGUAAGUAAUCUAAAUAAAGUGUCCUAUAUACAAUGUUUAUUUGGUUGAGUGUUCUUUUCUUCGCAUUCAUGCACGCACACACAAGUCAAAAAGUUUGACAUGUGACUGUUUGUUAUCAAACAUAUUAUAUGGAUUCUAUGUAAUGUUUCUAGUGUAUUGUAUAUGUUCUAGUUUGUCUACCCAGUACAGGGCACGGGCAGCAAUGUUUAGAAUCGCAUCUUAUACUUAUUGUUAACGUGUUUCUUUUCUUUUUGUCCACCAUUACAGUUACAGCGUAGACCUGAAGACUGAAUUUGAAGUAUGAGUACAAUGCGAAGACGUCUUCUUUAUCGCCGAGAAGUUGAAGGAAGCAGCCGCCGCAGUUCUGACCAGGCUUUCCACCAACUGAGAGGAUGUAGUUUCGUGACUGGUCGGGGGAAAUCUGGUGACCACAGCUCCGAUUGUGAAGACCAGCAGAAGCAAGUUGACUGUACAAGUUAGUACUGGGGCUUCUAUUACAGUAUUAGUAAAUUAUUGUGUCUUUUGACUCCAGGUGUUAUCAUUUUGUUCUCAACUUAACAAGUAAGGGAGGGGCGCUUGAAUAACAAGUAAAAUGGGCUUCUUUUGUACGUCUUGCAUCUGUAUCUGAAUAAAAUCACCCCUUGCAAUUGGCGUAACCCAGCUUCCCUGGCGCGGCGAUUUUUUUGUGUUGAUCUGUUUGAGAAUUUGAAAUUUCCAUAAACAUACAAUAUGUAUGGACGUAGACAUCUUUGAAUUGUUACUUUUGGUUUUGCUAAUGUUUGAGUUCAGAUUUUGUGAUGCCCAUGAUACAGUAUAUAUUUGCAUGUUGUGUAAUGUAUGAGGCACAUAGUUUCUUGUGAUCUUUUCAGUCUGAUUUUUUUGCAGUAUUAUGAAUGCUUUGAAGUUUAACGUACAAUGUAUGUACGAAGAUUUAGAUUCUGUGAAGUUGAUUUCUUGUUAUUCAGCUGUUCUGUUAAGACUUUUUGUGUAGCCUGUUUAUCAUUUAUGUGAUAUCAAUAAGUAUAUAACCAUAACUACAUUAGUUUGCUGAAUACACUUGUACCUUUUAUAUUGGCACGAAGUUACAAAUAGGUUGGUCUUAUGUUAUAAGUACGAGAAUACAGGGAAGGAAAACCCUGCACAGACACCCAGGGAAGACACCCCUGCACAGAAGUCCUAGGGAGUAAACCCUAGUCAAAAAAAAUCCAGGGGGGAUGAAACACCCCUGUCAAAAAAGUCAACCCCGCGCCAAAGUUCGACGAGUCAACCACUACACAAGACACAGACGGACAGUGGUACCGGCAUUUCUAUAGAUGUUUACACGUAAAUGUUAUGUAGAUUAGAUUUCUAUGAUAUAUUAUUUCUAUGAUAUAUUAUAUGACGGUUGAUUUAGACUGUGACAGUUUUUGGAGAACCAAGAAAUCAAAUUGGUGUGGCCCUAGGAUGGUACAAAUGAUACUGUUUGAAUGAUACUGUUUGUUCAUAUCAUGUAUUUUGACGUUGGUUUUGUUGACAAGGACAGUAUAUAUGUUGGGCAGGGUAGUAGACGGACUCGGACUGUAUGUUGAAAUGAUUUUGGUCCUAGUGACUUGCUUCUAGCCAUGGGAAAUUGGCACACAAUUAUUGGCAAACCGACGCUCAUCCUGACAAACUAUUUACAGUCUUGGUAAUUUUGUCUUUUUCUCAAAUUUCAUAUGGAGUACACUCAGCUCGCAUUGCCGUAGAGAAAAAUACAAUUGGGUUUGAAAAGAUUGUGAACAGCUAAGGAAGAAUGAGGCUUAAUAUGACUACAAAUAGACAGUCUAGCUGAAUAUAACAAAUAAAACCAACUGUAGACAGAGAAUAACCAAAUAAGAAUAAAAAUAUUAGAUAGGCAGGGAGGAAAACUUUAAAAGAAAACUUAGCAAGACAGGGCACAAAUAACAACAUUGCCUUCUUCAAUUCUGGCUGUUCACUUUCACAAUAAAACAUUCUUUAAACAUUUAUUCUUUCUUACAAACUACUGUGAGCUGAGUGAAACUCUUUAAACUUUGCUGCUAUGUUGUAAUUUUGUCAGGACUGUGAGUGGUUGUUGUCAGGAUGGCGUCCAAAUUUA